CGUCGGAACUUCCUAUACCCGGGAGGUCAUCCCUCGCCACUUGUUCUGUAGUAAAAGUGGUACCGAGAAUUUCUGUGACCGAGUUUCACCGAGACCGGCAGGACGAGUGUCUCGUCGAACAGGUCGACACACCUAUAGGUAUGCUUGGAGGCCAGAAGUGGGUGUUAGAGCCCCUGGCUGUGAGUUACAGGUGGCUGUGAGUCACCUGACGUAGCGCUGGGAUUCAACUCUCAGCCUCUGCAAGAGCAGCGAGUGCUCUUAACCACUGAGCCAUCGCUUUAGCCCAAAGGCAGGUGACAUGUUCCUUGGAGCCUCCCACACUAGAUGCAUGGAAUCUCUCUCAAGCCAGUGAAGGUCGCUUCAAAAUGGAGGUCCUAGGCACACUCCCACAGGCAAUGAAAACAGAACAGGACAAACUACAACUCUGGGGUAAGGUACUGUGCAGAUGAGCCCUGAGGAUGUAAUCUAGGGCCCGACAUGCUAGGCAAGCACUCUCUAAGCUCCACCCCCAGGCUCUACCAACUGUUUAGCAAAAACAUUUUCAGUCAGUGUUUUCAAGAAAAAGUGGCAUCCUUAUAAAACAUGAUUUUCCCUUUAGGCAAAUUUAUACUUCGACAAGAUUAAGGCAUAAAACAAAACAAUAUGGCCAAAUGAAGAAAGCAUACAAAAUUAACAACUUUAUUGUUCUGCAAAUGCAAGGUAAAGAGGGUCGGAAAAACUAUCAUGAAAUAGUAAAUCUCGAGCUACUUCUGAAUAAAUGAAAGCAGACGAAUAAAAUCUGGAAAGAGAGGAAGCAUGAUCAAAAGCGAUGAGAGAGUAAAGUCAGCACUCUCAACCCAAAGGAGAAAACCCAAUGGCAAAGAAAUAAAUAAAAAACAUGUCCACAAAAUCAUCGCAGCAUCACUCACAAUGGCCAGGAACAGCAGCGACACAGGGCGGCUCUGACGAAUGGGUGUGUGGGACAGCCACACAGAAGAGAACUAACUGUUCAACAACAGGAGCUAGUGCUGUGGUGAGCUUGAGAACACCACGUGAUAGAAGCUCAGCAAGGAGGCCUGACUAUUUAUAGGAAACGUCUAUAAGAAUGGGGGAAUGCUGGGAAAGAGGGAGGACCUAGGAGGAGGGUAACAGGUAAGGGAUCUGAAGUUUUCCUUAAGGUCAUGAAAAUGUUCUGAAAUUGUGACUAUGCAAAGAGACCCUGAAUUUGCACUUCAAAUGAUUUCCAUAAACUGCAUGCAUGGCCAUCAUGCUUAUUACAUAACUCUCUGCCAAAAGGCAGUGACAGGAAUAAGACAACUUUCUUUUUUUAGUUUUUGAUGCAAAAUAUAUAUGUAAUCUAUUUCUAUGCUUUUACAGUAGGUCUAAAAUGGAAGGAAAAGAUAUGACCUCAAAUAUUUACGAUGGCAAAAAACAAAAACAAUUAAAUAAGGUAUAGGUGUCUUUUUGCUUCUAUGUCUGUGCCUGGCGCCCAUGGAGGCCGAAAGAGGGUACCGGAUCUCUUAGAAUUGGAGUUAGAAACAGUUGUGAGCCACCAUGUGGGCGCUGGGAGUUGAACUUGGGUCUUCUGUAAGAACAGCAAGUAGUCUUAACCACUGAGCCAUCUCUGUCCAACUGCAUUUCCUGAGAGAUGUGGUAACCUAUCUGUGUGAGUGUCUUCACUGUGGAGCAUGUAUGUAAUGUGUAUCUGGCAUUGCUGUUUUCAGAAGCUCUGUUUUGGAAUAGGGAUUAUUUCUCUCUAAAGGAAUUAGCAGGUUGAAAACAUGGUAUCUGCUGGCUGCGUGUGUUGCCCUUCCACAGCAGUUGCAACAGCAAAGUAGGACGUGCCCUUCCACACAAACAUAUUCAGGGAGCAGAAUAGCUGUGACCAGCUAAGAAACCCAUCAUUGGUGGCAAGGGGUUUACAAUCACGGGAAGUCAGCUUCUGCGAGAGACAUGCAGGCCUUCACUUUGGGUGAGCCUAUCUGAGUAUUACUAUCCAACCAGUUUGUUCAGUGGGAAAAACAUGUCCCUAUCAGUGCCACAUGUGUUACAUAUGCCCAUGGAUGGCUGGAGAGAUGGCUCAGUGGUCAAGAGCACUUGCUGCUUUUCCAGAGGACCUAGGUUAGGUUCCCGACCUCACACAGUGGCUAACAACCAUUUGUAAUGGCAAUAGGAUUCAAUACCCUCUCUGGCCUCCAUGGGCGCCAGGCACGCAUGUCGUAUAUAUAUACAUACAUGCAAGCAAAAACACUCAUACAAAUAAAAAAGGAAUUCGAAAAUUCUCUACACUUUGCACCGUGCACGUAAUUUCCUUUCUAAAUGUGCCCAUUCACGUAACAGGGCAUUAGUCAUCUGAAAAUGACCCAUGAAAAGUCUGCGCUCUGGUUUUCUUUUGUGCAUUUAACUUUUUUUUUCCCGAGGGUGAUUUUAAAAUUUGUCAUUUGGUUCUCUAAAAGUUGUCAGCGUCGUUGUCGUCUUCCUCCUCUUCCUCCUCCCCAUCUUCCUCUUCUUUUUCUUCUUCACAAUCCAUGAAGGUUUAACCCCAUAUCAUUGGUGACAAAAAUCCUAAAAGCUUAAUUAAAUGCAGAUCUUAAAAACUUAUCCAAAGAAAGUAGGUGGUUGAUGCUCGGGGACCUUUCCUCCACGUGAACGAGUCGAAUUCUAACCGUGUAAAACAUAGGUAGCCUUGUCACAGAGCAAAGACUGGCACAGACACUGCUGUGAAGUGAACCGCUUUGUGAAGCAUAGGAGAGGUUCCUUCGUCAGUGUCAAGCUAAUGAGGCUGCAUUUCGGCAUAAAGGUGCCCCAGUGGCCAUUUGUGACAGCGCAGUGAUUAAACUCCCCACUCAUCGCUCCAAGACUGACAGUAGCUACUUCUGUGUAAAUGUCAUGAUUUCAUUUUAGGGUAAGGUGACAUUUCCUUAGAUUUCAAUUUAAAAAUCAUUGUGCGUUGUAUGCCAUGCAUAUGCAGGGGUCCCUGGAGACAAGAACAGGGUAUCAUAUGCCCUGGAGCUGGGGUUACAGGUGGUUGUAAAAUGGCCAGUGUCCUUUGGAAGGACAGCAAGCUCUUAACCACUGAGCAAUCCAGCCAGACCAGAAAUAACGGUUUGUUAAACAAUGGACCGCACACACGGAACAUUAGUCAUGCAGGUUAUACUGUCCAGUGAUGUACUCACGUAUAUGCAUGUUCGUCAGAGAUAGUAUGAGUAAUGUCAGUGAAGUAAAGUCACACACUUUAAGGAUAAUUGCUAGCAUGCAACUGGUUUACCUGCCUCACAGUCUGUUUGGUCUUCAGGUGCAGGGCACUCAGAGCCAUGUCGUAUUGCUGCCUCUCAGCGUCCUCAGAAUAAAGCUCAUCUUUUCCUGGUAACUGCAUCUUCACCCUUGCACCUUCUCCCGUCUCCUCUGUUUCUUUCAAUGCCUCUCUGAGGUUAAAUAUGCUUAUCUUAAAAUUCAUUUUUUUAAAAAAAACCAAAGUAUCCAUCAUUUCAUUAUCCUAACAAGCCAAUAUCCCGGCCUAUCCUAAUCCAAUUUCUAUAUUUCAAUACGUUCUUUUGAUGCCAUGCUUUCAGUCUCUCACUUUCGACUUUUCCAGAGCUCAUGCAUAUUGGGAGGGCAAUGCUGAAGAAAGGUUUUCUUGACUGCUAAGUUUCUGUUAAGAGAAACUGUAGCUAUUUUGGAAAAGCCAUCUUGAAACCAAUCAGUGAUUUGACAAAUUAAAAAUGAUCGUCUGUGUAUAAUUUGACAUAAUUUUAUACAUAGUCCCCUAAUAAAAACAGGUAAAGUUAAUUCCUAAAAGUUAUUGCUUGCAAACAUGUAUGGAAUUAACUCGACAUAAAAUCUUAUUUUUAUAUAACAUUACAUGUAUCCCUCAAAUGAUUUACAAUGUGAGAGAGCCCCUUCUGAAGCUUUCAAACAAUGGGUAUGCUCCUUGCUAGAAUUCAAGGCAAGAUUAGGGAGCUUAUGUUACCUCUUACUAAUGCUUCCAAAUCAUCUUAUUAUAAUAAGCAAUUAAAAAUGCAUAAAAGAUAAUUGAUUCAGUAAUAAAGAGUAUCCUGUUCUUUCAACAUAGAAAGCUGUUCAUUUUAUCAUUAAGAGAGAAGUACUGAAUAAAUUAAUUGGUCACUUACUCUAUUUGAUACAGUUUAAGAAUGAUGGUGUUGCAUGUGGGAAGAUGACUCAGUGGUUAGGAAUGCUGGCUGCUCUUAUACAGGAUCUGGGUUAGGUUCCCAGCACCCAAUGGUGGCUCACAACUGUAACGUCAGUUCCAGGGGAUCCAGUGUCUUCCUCUGGCCUCUCUGCCUGCACAUAUAGUAUGCAUACAUACAUACAUACAUACAUACAUACAUACAUACUUACAUACAUAGGGCAAAUGCUCACACACGGGGUAAUAAAAGAACAAAAGUAUAGCUGGGCGUGUAACAGCAUUGUGUGCUGACCUCACACAGAUGAAAUUUAGUCUUCAACACCAAAAAUAAGUAAGUAAAGGGUAUAGGGAAGUGUCAGGGUGUAGAGGUGCGAGUGGGUGGCUGGGAGGGGGAGCAUCCUCAUAGAAGCAGGGCAAGAGGGAUGAGAGAGGGAUGAACUGGCAAAGGGGAUGACAAUGUAAAUGUAAAUACAUAAAGUAUACAAUAAAAAUAAGUUAAUUAAAAGAAAGAGGACAGCUGCAGAGAUUUUAAAACUUGUGUUUGAGAAAACGAGUGUUUCUUACACUACAGUGGGAUUGUAAGUUAAUUCAGCUUUCGUGAGGACAACAGACAUAUGGAGCAAAGUCUUCUUUAUAUUUCUAUUUAUUUUUAUUUUUUGAGAUGGGGUCUCACUCUCUGUAGCCCAGGGUGGAACUUUCUAUGUAGCCCAAGCUGGUUGGUCACCCUUCUGACUCGGCCUCCUCAGGGAUGAGAUUACGGAUGUGAGCCAUCACACCCGUCCACUCACUUAUUGACUAAAGUCAUUUUUAAAGACGGUUCUAUACUAUCAGACAAUCAUUCUAUGUUGAAUGAAUUAAUAAAGUAAAUCAUUAAAAACACAGAAAACAACAUAUAAACAGUUUCCCUGGAAUAAGAAAAACGUGCCUUUCUAGUGAGCAGUCACCCCGUACACUUAGAGAUGACGGGAAGAACAUGUCUAGCUCUGGCUAGUGCCCAAGGAAAAGUCAGCCUUGAACAGAAAGUUUACUAACUUACACACCCGAGGCUUAUGGAGUGCACAAAUGACAACAUCUUUAACUUUCCUCUAAGUCCCGGCCUUAGGUUAUACUUUGGACAAUUUAGACAAAGACAGGAGGCAUCUGGCCAUGUGGGCAGAUGGGGGAUUUACACAAGAAAGAUAUUGCCAGAAUUAUUUUUUUAAGUACACCACUGUUGUUCUCUUUUGAAUGGUUGUUACCUAGGGUCAUCUUACCCAUGUGGCAGAAUUAUGUUUUUCCUGAUAAAAGCACAAAGGAACCUAAAGACACCAGAACUUGGCACCCUUGAACGUGUUCUUAGGGGAUGGGUACAAUGGCUGGUCAAUCCUGGUGAACAAACAUGUACUAACAGGCCUGCUGGGCGGAUUACUUAUCUUUGAGGGGACAGUGUUCCUUUAGCAAAAUUCUCCUUCUUAAAUGUCUCCUAAGCAAAUCUAUUAAUGAAUCCUUUAUACCAUCAGUUCUCUUACCUUGAGUUUCUUCUACACCAUUCUUUAAAAACAAAAACAAACAAACGAAACACAUAGAAAGCACUGCCAGCUUCUCAUUGCUGAGUACGUAACAAGACUCUAUGCUGCAGUGUGCACCUAAGUUUUGGAAACACGUAGGAGCCAGUAGGAGCCACAGCCUGUCACAGUAUUGGCGAGGACUUCACCCCCCAAAAGACUAGAAUGUUUUCUCCUAUUCACCAUCCCACCGGGGUUGCGUAGUGGAGAUUUCUCUCUCCAGGCCUUUGUGUUCUAACCUUGAUCUCGCUGGCUCUGUUUUCAGCACCUCCCCUGCUACACCGCCUUCCAUGUUCCCAGUUUGUCUUGUAAGUAGCUCACAGGACUCAGUUUCUGUUUCUGCUUGGUGUGUGUUACAGCACAGCUCUGCCUCUAGAACAGAGACAGUGGUCACUUUUUUUUUCUUUUUUUUUUCCGGAGCUGGGGACUGAACCCAGGGCCUUGUGCUUGCUAGGCAAGCGCUCUACCACUGAGCUAAAUCCCCAACCCCCAGUGGUCACUUUUUAAAAAAGAAUUGAAAAUAGAUUUUUUUUCCACACAAUACAUUCUGAUCAUGGUUUACCCUCCCUCAGCUCCUCCCAGAUCCUCCCACCAAUGUAAUUCCACACCAUCUUUCUCUUUAGAAAAUAAACAGGCAAAUAAAAGCAAGCCAGGUCCCAUGGCCUGAAGACAUCAGUCACACCUCCUCACAGCUCCCUUUGGGACAGAAUUAAGCAGUUUGUGCAGUGACUUGACAGCCUACCCACAACCCCCGCAGUGUUUCUCUGUGUAGCCUUGGCUAUGGUUAUCCUGGAACUCACUCUGUAGACCAGGCUAGGUUUUCAGUAAGGGAUUCACCUGUCUCUAUUUCCCAAGUGCUGGGAUUAAGGGCAUGAACCGCCAUGCCCAGUGGCUCAAUGGCUCUUAAUGUAUUGCUCUAUGCUCUUCCGUGCUCUGUCUUGCUGAACUAAGUCAUGUGAUGUGCAACCUCCUGCCACAAAUGCUCUGUCCUCACAGAAGUCUGAUCCUUUGUUCUCAGGAUUUUGUUCUGGGAAGCACUCUUGCUAGCUCACUGUCUUCCUCUUCCAUAGUCUCACUCUUUUAUUUUAUGUCAUUUUUGAGGCAAGAUUGGACUGUGUAGCCUGGCUGACCUCAGACUCUGAUCUACGCUAAAGGUGUGAGUCACAGUGCUAGCUUUAUCCUCACACCAGGUUUUAAAGGGAAGCUUCUCCUUUAAGGCCCCAUUACCUGUACAUCUCUACUGAUUGUACUGUAGUUGCUGAAUGUUCUUCUCCAACUUGGAGGCCCUUUCUCCUAACAAACAGUAAUUUAUUUUUUUCCAGAUCUUGAAAGGAAAAUUUUCAGCUUCAUAUGGAAACAAAAAAAUUCAGGCUAGAUAAAACAAUUCUGCUUAAUAAAAAGAACUGUUGGAGGAAUCACUGUUCUUGAUUUCAAGUUGUAUUACAGAGCUAUAGUAAUAAAACCAGCAUGGUAUUGGCGCGUGCACACACACACACACACACACACACACACACACACACACACACAUGAAUGCAUGCAUGCACAUGCACGCCCCCAAAACAAAACCCCUCAAAAACAAAACAAAACAAUAACAACAACGAAACCAGACACGAACAGUGGAACUGAAUUGAAGAGCCAGACAUAAAUCCAUAUACCUAUGGACACCUGAAUUUUGUUUUGUUUUGUUUCAUUUUGAGACAGGGUUCUCUGUGUAAUAGAGACUCAGUUUGUAGACUAGGCUGGUCUCAAAGUCACAGAGAUCCACUUGCCUCUGCCUCUCAAGUGCUGGGAUUAAAGAUGUGUGCCAUCACCCCCCACCUGAAUACCUGAUUUUGAUGAAGAAGUGAGAAAUGUACAGUUGGAAAAAGAAAUCAGCUUCUUUAGCAAAUGGUGCUGGACAAAAUGGAUGGCUACAUGUAGAAGAAUCCAGAUAGAUGCAUAACUUAUUCAACUUCAAAUGGAUCAAAGCUUUCCACAUAGAACCAAAUACACGGAAUCUGAUAGAAAUCAGGUAAUGGCCUUGAACUCAUUGGCACAGAGAAAAGAUGCUCCGAAUAGAACACCAGUAGCAUAGGUACUAAAAUCAACACUUAAUAUAUGGGACCUCAUGAAACUGGAGAAGCUUCUGUAAGGCAAAGGACACCAUCAUUUGGACAAAGUGUCAGUCAAUAGAAAGGGAAAGCAUUUUCUUUUAACCAACUAUACAUUCAAUAAAGUUAACAUCCAAAAUAUAUAAAGACUCAACAGUUAGAUAUCAAGAAAACAAAUAAUUCAAUUCAUCUAAACAGAAUUAUCGAUAGAGGAAACUCACGAGGCUGAGGAACACUUAUAGAGACUUUCAACAUCCUUAUCAGGGGAAUGCAAAUCAAAGCUGCUUUGAGAUUUGAUCUUAUACCAUUCAGAAUGGCUAAGACCAACAUAAGUGGUGCCCAGCGUGGUGGCACAGGCCCUUAAUCCCAGCACUCAGGACGCAGAGGCAGGCGGAUCUCUGAGUUUGAGGCCAGCCUGAUCUACAGAGCUGGUCUACAGGCUACACAGAGAAACCCUGUCUUGAAAAACAAAAACAAAAACAAAAACAAAAACAAAAACAAGUCAAUCACAGUGACAGUUCAUGCUGGUGAGAUGUCGAGUUAGACAAACCCUCAUCCAUAGCUGGUGAGAGUGAAAACUUUUACAGCCACUAUUGAAAUCAGUGAUGCUGUUCCUCAGGAAGAGAAGAGUAGAUCUACCCCAAUACCCAGCUAUACCACUCUUGGGCAUAUACCCAGAGGCCUCUACAUCCUACCUCAGAGACAUGGGCUCAACCAUGUUUAUUGUGGCUCUACUUAUAGUAGCCAGAAGUUGGAAUAAACCUUGAAGUCCAUCAACUGAAGAACCGAUAAAGAAAAUGUGCUACAUGCACGCAAUGGAUCAUCACUCAGCCAUUAAAAAUGAAAUCAUGAAAUUAUGAAAUCUGAAGGUAAAUGGUUGAGACUAGAAACGUUUAUCCUGAGUGAUGUAACUCAGCAAACAUGGUGUGUAUUCGCUUAUAUGUGGCUAUUGAUUUGUUUACAUCAAUGAUAACCAGAGUACUAUCCACGGAACCACAGAGUGUAGCUGUAGAGUAAGGAACUGGUGUCAGGCAGAUCUCUCUAGGAAAGGGAAGUAGAGUAGUUAUGGAUUAAUUCAGGCAUGGUGCUGGGAGACUGGAAUGUGAGGGUCAAGUGGUGGGGGUGGGGAGAGAAUGAGGGAGGGAAUAUAUAUAUGGAGACAGCUAAAUUAUGUGCCAUUUGAGGGGUAGUAUGGAAACCUAACACAGUAAAAGCUUCCUAGAUAUAUACACAUAUGAAGGUGAUAUAACCAAAAUCCUCAGAUAAUAGGACAGACAGAGCCCCAACUGGAGAUCUCUUGUCACCAAACAGAACUUCUAGAACUAGGAUUGUGCUAUAUAUAAUUGAGUUAUUGGCUAAAGGGGUCCCAUGAGAACCCCUAAACAACAAAGUCUAAAACUAUAGGCUGCUCUCUGCAAACUGACAGCAAGGUCCCAUUGUUGAAGACAAAACCCCCUCAACUCACUGAACAUGGAGAAGUCAAGCUGUUGCUGUAUCAAGCCUUCACCCCUGUGCUCUAGUGUCUUUGCUAAAAGAAAGAAGAAAUAUAAACACCAACCUAGCCACAAACCCUCUGAUCUACACUGGUGCUUUGCCUGAAAGAUAUGUUAGUGCAACGGUGACUCAAAGCUUGUGGAAUAACCAACCAAUAUAGGAUUUGACUUAAGGCCCACUUCAUGAGAUGGAACCUGUGGGGCAAGUGGACCAUGACACCAGACAGAAGAGCUGGUAAGGUUGAAACAAGUUCAAAAGCCCCAGGAAAUCUUGUGAGUGAGAAUGUCAGGUGUGGAAUCAGCUUCCAGCCAGACUCUACCUGUCCUGGAACAUGUAACCAUGACACCCCACUGAGAGGACCAUGACAACCGGCCACAUAGCAUAUAAACCUGGAGUUCUCCAUGCUAAUGAAGUAUCUAGACAGGCCCCAAAUAUUCAGCCAAUGAGCUUCCCUUCCUGGGCACUCCUUUCUGUCAAGGGUAUUUAUUCCCUGGUUCACUCUGAGUAAGACAUAUGUAUCCACAUCUGCCAUAAAUAAAGCAUUUUGGACAAGCAAGGACCUUCUCCUUCAAGGAUUGCCUGGUGGGAGGGUGGCUUCAUUAUAAGGAGCCACAUCUAAAUCUCCCAGAGAAUGUCUUCUCUCUUUCAGCCCCUCUGUACUCUUGGCAUUCAUUCAGAACUAGACUAGAUUCUGUCCCUUCCAGGACUCUCAGCCAUAUCCUUCCUGCCUGGUGUAGGGGAAGCGCAGUCUUGCGGGCCAGUGUUCUCAACUCAGGGUCCCCAGCAGCGUCUAGGUACGUAAGGGAUCGAGAACCACAGCAUUUGCCCCAGAUCUCACUGUUUCUCAUCAGGGGGAAACAUGGGCUGGGACCCCUACCACAGACUGCCUCCUCUGAGCUGAGGGGUGCUCCUAUGCCCUAGCAGUGAGGCAGAUGUGCAGCCCAACAGGAACCCAGACCUGACACUGCUUGGAUGACUGAGAACCUGAAACUAGAUAAUCCAGGGACCUAGCGUAAAACCAAAUACUACUGUUCUAAAGACAAACAAACAAACACCCAAAACGUAACAAUAAAAUGACACCUAAUGACACUCUGCUAUAUUCAUAAGUCUAUGCCUUCCUCAGCCAUCAUCAGAGAAGCUUCCUCCUGCAGCAGAUGGGAAAAAAUAGAUUCCCACAGCUAGACAAUGCACAGACAGUGAGAGACCUUGGAACACAUAUUAUAUCUUAGCAUCCCUUAGAAGACUGUUUGCUUUCUAAGGAAAGCUAGAAAAGAAGUGGAUUCAGGUGGGAAGGGAGGCGGGGAGGAACUGGGAGGAGUAGGAGGAGAAGAAACUGUAAUCAAGGAUGUAUUAUUUGAGAAAAACUAUUUUCAAUAAAAGGGAAAAAUACUGUUUGUAUAGCAGCCCAGCAUCCUGAUAGUGAGGGUCAGGCAACUCACUGUUAUCUGAGCACGACUCAGAGAGCGGAGUGAAGUCAUCAGCGUCUUCCAUAGCAUUCAUUUCUCCUCUGACCUGCAAAACAAACUAUGCUAGGUCACAGCAUUCUCAGACAGCGAUACCACAUACAGCAGUGGGGGAGGGUUGUACAGCAUCCAAGCAGAAAUGUGGGUGCUUCUGAAAAGGAUUGAUGUUUGCCCAAGAGGAGCUUUGUCAAUGGCUUCUAAGCAAAUGUCUUUACAUAACAGAAGAUUCUAUGCUUUUUCCCCUUCAUUUUUAUUUCAUGUGUAUGAGUGUUUUGCCUACAUAUAUGUCUACGCAUGUAGAUUAAAAACCAUGUGUGUUGUAGAUACUCCAGUGGGUCUAGCUAUCAGACAAACAGAAAAGAGUAAGUAAAGAACCAGUCACGCAAGGUCUUCAGAUCUGAUCUUCUGUUCAUUUGCUGUGCUGGAAUUUGACUCCCAUCUGCCGGAUGGGUGACUAACCCCUGUGCUAGCAGACAUGGCCAAGCAGCGUUUGCUCCGCCCCUCCUGCUGUUUUGUCUCUUUUCUGUCUUGUAGUCUGUGGAUUUCUGGCACCUGAGAUGGUGAUUGAAGUGACAGUGGGAACCACUCUGAGGUGUCAUCUCCCUGAGUUCCCUUGUCCUCUCCCUAGGGUUCCUCUGCCGUCCUCAGCAAGUGGAGACCCUUGCAGGAGCAUGGCCUCUCUCACUCUGCACACACUGACAAUGUUCACUGAGUCCUGCAUGUAGCAAAGCUAGAACCUUGUCACAGUGGGGCCUUUGCUGGCAUUGUCCAGCCUGGCUUUAGCACUGCUCAUUCCUUUCCAGAUCUCACUAUUGGCGGACUCUGAAGGUGGAAUGUAGACCGCCUUGCAGUGGUUGAGGUCUGUGGCAUUUCUACUCUCUUCAAUUGGAUCUCCACCUGACCUGAAAAUUCACUGCCACCACACCUUUUUCUCUUACAGAGCAAAGCAACUUUCUGGGUUGAUUCUUCCUUGUGGUCAAAAUACAUCUCCCUGUGUGUCAUUCCUCUUGGUGAAGCCAUAUUCUAAAUCUAGCACAAAGUAUUCUGCUUCCUAAGUCUUUCUUCUUGUCUGUAAAGCUGGACAUAGUCUGUGAGGUCACCCAGUCUACCAGAUUUGGGGUGGGCAGUGCUGAGGGUAGGCAGUGGGUGGUUGCUAUGUUACGGUGUUGCUGGUGGGCAGCUGAGAGGCUGCGGCUCCUCUCUAAGUGAUGAGCUCUAGGCUGUUACCCACUUAGGGGGAUGGCCAGGGCUCUGUGGGGUGUGCUCUGUUCCUGCCACCAAAAUCUGGUUUUGAUUUCUACAAUACCUUGUGCUUUUCCUUUGAUUUUCUCUUUGCAGGACUGAAAAAGAAGAACAAAGAAGAAUCCUUUCAGACAAAAACAAACAAACAAACAAACAAACAACAAAAAACCAAAAUAAUAUUUUCUUUUUUAAAUAAAGUCUCUUCUGUUGCCAUUAAUUCCUCCUGAUUUUGAAGCUUACAGUCAUUUUCUCUAAGGAAUUUGAGAGUAAACAGAAAGUAAACUUGCUUUAUCCAGAAAAACUAACCACUCUACCCCCUCCCUUCGUGGGGAAUUUACACUUUUACCUCCCUUUAUUCGGAUCCGUGUCAUUUAAACUCCAAGAAUCCUUCACUUGCAGGAGAUCACCAGCCGCUGGCUCAGACUCCUUAGAUGUCCGGUCCAUCAGAAAGUCUCCAGACCAUUCUUCAUGGUCUCUUGUCUUCUCUUCUUUUAUAUUCAAGCCAGAUCCACUAAUUAAAAAAAAACCACAGAAAAUAAUACAUUCUGAUAAUUCUAUAGAAUAAGGUUAUAAAAACAUUAUAAAACCCCAAGUCUUCCCCAUCUUAACUUCACUUAUUAAUAUAAAGACAGUGGGUAGGCACUGUUAUAAAGUAGCAGCUAAAAUGAGGAAAUGGAAUUCCCUCCUUAAAACCAGACACCACACAGGCCUGAUGUGCUGCAUACACGGGCUGGCACAGGAAAACCCUGGUCUGAGUGCAAUGAAGAGUUUCCAGAGGACUCGACUACAGAAGAUGAGCUCAUCAGGAAACACUGAAAAAAUGUUCAGCGUCCCAGCCAUCAGGAACAUGCAAAUCAAAGCUGCUUGAAGAUUUCAUCUUAUGGGCUGGAGAGAUGGCUCAGCGGUUAAGAUCACUGACUGCCCUUCCAGAGGUCAUGAAUUCAAUUCUCAGCAACCACAUUGUGGCUCACAACCAUCUGUAAUGGGAUCCAAUGCCCUCUUCUGGAGACUGCCGGGCUCUGGGAUGUCCGUUUUCCCUCGUUAGAGGUGAUCCGAUGUCACCGUGGUCAAGAGCUGCAGCACACAGGGCCUCCGGUGCACCCCACCCACUCCAUUCCUGCGUCCUUUCUUCUUCAACCUUUAAUGAAAGUUUGAGACAAAGGAUAACUGCUAACUUUUCGACGAUCAACACUAGUUGUUUUCUUUGGUUUUAUCACCCAACUCUUUAGUUUCCGGCAGUGGAAUAGGAGUGCCGAGUGGAUAGUCUGGGAUUCUGGAAGACAAGCGCCUCUCCGGCAACAGGAGUAACGAUCGAUCGAUCGCAUCAGCCUUUCUGCCUUCUCUGAACCAUAGCUGCUCCAAGAAGGCUUCAAAGCGAUUCACUCAAUGGUCUUAAGGGCAGGGCCUGUUUUGUGUAUAAAUGCCUUUUUUAUUUUAAUUAAUUAAUUAAUUAACUUUUGAUUCAGCUUUUGGUUUUAUUACCCUUCCCAGUUUUAGUCCAGGCAGAUGAUCAACUUUCCAAGGGCUAACUACAGCACCCCUCCCCUCCACUCUCAGGCAUCAGAUGACCCUUUCAGAUUUCUCCACAAUCCCAUCUUCAAAAAAGAUUUUUCUUUUACCUUGUUCAUUUAACAAUGGCCAAUUUGUCGCCUCUCAGCAAAGUGUAGGUUCCGUAUGUGGCUGUCCGCUCUUGCUUACUGGCCUUCCCCAGCAUGUGGCAUAAUUGAGUACUUUGUUAUUGUUACUAAUUGGUAAGACCCUAUAAGCCAGUUCAUGCAGGUUAAGAUUUGAAGGAGCUAUAAGGGGAAAUGAUCAGCCUUAUUGGAAGGGAAGUGGUUCGAAGGCACCACCUAGGCAAAUGUCAAUGCUUUUAAAAAUAAAAUACGUAAGAGCCAGGAGCAAACGUGUUUAUGAGCAUCAGAAUCAAAGGCUUAUUUCAUUAUGCAUGUGAACCGUCUAAGCAGAAGGACUGGAGACAUGGCUCAGUGGUUAAGAGCACUUGCAGACGAGAGUGUGUGUUUUCUAGCACUCAUAAGCGUGACCUCCAGGGGAUCUGAUGCCCUCUGCUGGCCUCUGUAAGUACUUAUCUAAUGGUUUAUCUUCCCAAAACCAUCAUCAUAAAUCCCUUUCCACCAAGUUUUGCAAAUCCCGCAUUGGAUCCUGUAUUUAGUCAGUCCCUAUAAAAAUAACAGGACUGGGAAAAACUUGUCCCUUUCUCCCCUGUUGUGGUGCACAUUUUCUGCAUAUUUCAAUUUUUGCUGCUGGGUAGAUCUGAGGUAUAGAUUUAAUGCUAUCAGAAGUUAAAUUAUAUCUCAAUCAUUACAGCCUUCUGUGUGGGACCAGGCAUCAGCCAGAAAGCAUGAGGAAUGCUUACAUUCUGCUUAUGGCUGGAUGUACAACUAUCUUUUGCAUUCACAUCUAAACAAUUGACCCAGAAUUCCUCAGCACUGAUCACCUGACUCACAAGGUCUGCAUGGAGCUGGGAUAGAACAGCAGCUCCUGGGAGCGUCUGUCUCGUCCAUUUCCUCAUUUGCAUUCCUUGGCCCUACAUCUAGUCUUUGCUGUUCCUUUGCUGGAGAGAUGGAAGUUGGUUAUGUUCCCUGCCUGUGGGAUCAGCUGAAGCUGAAUUUUAGCUUUUCUCUGGACUGCCUUUCUGGCAUUUAGUAUCUACAUUCAUACGGUUGACUGCGAAUCUAUCCUUGCCUUCAGGUGCCAAGUAAUUCUUUCUGCCAUGAGGUAUGGAGCUCUACCCUGCCUCUUCUGACGAACCUUCACCAUCAGCGCUUCUUCAGGUGGAUGGUGCAAUGUAUUUUAUUACCCAACAUUAAAAAGAUUAUUUUUUAUUAUUUAUUUUUGUAUAGAAAAGUAUGUCUGUGUGUGGGUGUGUUAUGUGCACAUGAGUGUGGACCCUAAGAAGUUUAAGGAAGGGCGUCAGAUGUCAGGAGCUAGCGUUACAGGUGGUUUUGAGCGGCCUGAUGUUGGACGCUCGGAACUAAACUGAGGUGGGUUCUCUGGGAGAGCAAUAUGUGCUCUUAAGCACUGAGCUAGGUCUCCAUGCCCAACCUAACCUUUUGAUACCAAAAUAUAUAAUAGAGUUCAACAAGUUUGGGUCAGGUAAGCUACCUGAUACUGUUGUUGGAUCAAUGAGAGAAACAAUCACAGAAAGUGUGACUUUUACAAAGAUAUUUAAUGCCUGAUGGGUGGGAAGAAGCAUGAGCUGCCACUACUUUUGAACGCAUCCCUUGCUUUGCAUUCCUCUGCACAAACUAAUGCACCCCAGACCUUAGCUUUUUCCUUCGGGAUCAAUCGCUGAGGGUUUGGUUAGGGAGCAUUCAAGUUAUGUGAAAAGCCGGCAUCCCAAGAGUCUGCAGACUUUAUCAAGCAUCAUGAAAUCAGAGAAGACAGUGUCAGUCAUCAACUGAAGCGCGACUCACUACACACCUGAGGCUGGCAGUCUUCAUUUCUGGAGAGCUCUUCGUGCUUUUCCUCUGAAGUCAAUUCUAAACCUGGUUCUGCUGAGAAAUGUGUAUGUAUGAUUUAAGUUAAUUACUUAAAACAGUCAAGGCAAUAGGUGUUAUAAAAAUUGAUAGACAAUAAUAACUGA